GGAGCAGUGGCCGAGCGGUUGAAGGCGACUGUCUUGAAAAUAGUUAGGGUUCAUAGCCCUCGUGGGUUCGAAUCCCACCUGCUCCUCCA
rnacentral:tRNA from 1 species